UAUCCAGUAUGAUUAAUUAAACAGAGUAAAAAGUACGUGAACGUUAAACCCGAUGUGCUUAGAGAACCUAAAUUCAUAAAAAGGACAAUGAAAGUCAUUUAUAUUAUUUUAUAUUAUGAGAAUGUAUUAAUAGUGUGCAUUUUUUAAAAGAGUCAUGUAUAAGUGUUGUAAUCUGUUAAUACAAUUUAUAUAUUCUUUUAUAUAUUAUUUUUAUCAUGCCUAGAUAAAUAGUUAAUUAAUUUAUUAAUUAAUUGAUGUAUUAACGUUUACAUAUAAAAGAUCGAUGAAUUUAGUACAUAUAUAUUUAGUAUUAAAAUAUAUAAUGCUUACAUAAUUUUUUAUGUUUUAUAUAUAAUAUGUACAUUAUUCUUCAAAGUUGGUUUUUGCAUUUAUAUUAUAACAAUGCUAUAGAUUUAGG
rnacentral:rRNA from 1 species